UUCUGAUCAAAGACACAUGUAAUACCCAAUGAAAGUGUGUGUUGGUUGUGGGAGGAGUUGGAGGAGGGGAGAGAGGGAAAUAAUGUGAUUAUUAUAACCAAGGAAUAAUGUUCUAAAUUGACUAAACUCCUUCAAAUGAAAAAAUAAGGAAACUGAGUCUGAAAGAGUUUAAUAAGGAAGAGAAGCAGAGGCAUAGGUGAGAGAAUAGCAAUAAACCUUGGAUGAGGGGAGCCCUGGUGACAAAGAGGACACUGGAUUCUCUUUGUGGUCAAGGAGAGAUGGCAGUGAGAGGGGUAAAUUCACUCAGUUACCCAACUUCCUCUUAGGAGAGUACAGAGUCAAGGGUGACAAGCCUCACCUGGCUGAGAGUGAAGUUUGUUUGGGCCCCUUUGUCAUAGCAACAAGGGAUUGUUUGGUAACAGAGCCAGUGACUUCACAGAAGCUGGUCUUAAUUCCACAUUUCUGAAGCUCAGGGAAGAGCAGAGCCAGCCAGGAGAGAAUGUGGAGGCAGAGGAAGACAAUAGUUCCCUUGGAAGAGCUGUGACUACUAGAAAAGUACUGUCCUGUGCUGUAUCUACAUCAUCAUAUUUGAUAUUGCUUGUAGGAGCCGCUGUGAGCAGUCUUCACCACACCAUUCUCUUGGGCACACAUGGAUGUUUGCUUCAUUCAUUUACCUCCACCUUAAACACAUCCAUUCUCUUACAUUUGCCAUCUCCUCAUUUUUCUUUUGUGAGUAGAAAGCAUCAAUAAUAUAUGCAGGGGCAAGUUAUGCUGUAGGAUGAAACCUGCUUAAUGAUGGCUUCACCACUACCGUAUUUAUCUUCAUUUAUAUUCAUAUUUAUAGGUUAUCUCAUGUGAGAGGCUUAUUUCAGUGUUAGUAAUUUAGCCUUAACAUUUAAAUUCAAUCUUAAACCUCCUACUUCAUUUCCUAAAUUCAGAAUUACAUUUGGCUACAUUAUGCCCAUUUUGACAGUAUUUUGCCGUGUGGAGCGGUGUAAGCCAAGAAGCCAGAUUCAUCAGAACAACUGUUGCAUGUUCUAAAAUCCAGUAAAAUCGGUUUUAGAAUGGGUGGAAAUGUAAUGCUGCCGUUUGGACACAGGAUGGCAGACUAAAAUUGCAGUAUCUGAGAUGGCCACAAGAGGGCAAAAACCCUAAUUUUUUUUUUUUUUUGAAUUGCAGUAUCCUGGAGGGACACCAGAUGGAACCAGAAGACCAUGUUAUUUAAGUCAAUCAGUCAAAAACUGAAACCUUAAUUUAUAAUGAAAAAGUUUUUUAAAAAAAUAAACAAUCUAAAUGACUACUUUCCUGAGCCUGU
rnacentral:lncRNA from 1 species